GCACUAGCCGUCAUCCCCACCUUAUCACCCCUCCUCCAGCCGCCAUCGCCGACCCUUCCCCCUUGUUUCUCCGAUCAGUUGCCGACGAGUAGGACCAACGAAGCCAGCAACCUUGCCCCACCUUUCUGACCGAGAGCUUUGUUGGAGACCAAGUUGGAGCAAAGGUCCCCAGCCGCCGCAACCAUGGGAAUGACUUCAAUCGUUGCUGCUUCGCCGUGGGUUGCCGCCGUCGCAGCCCCGCUGCCGGUAACGACGUGUUCGUCGUGAUAGCCGCCAAGACCGACGACCGAGUGGGGUUUUGCUGCUGCAAGAGGCGUGAGUGAUCAGAAGAUCGAUGGUGAUCCCAUCCGCCGCCAUAGGUCCAUAGUGCAAAUGAGAAUCAUGUGUGCGGGGCUGUAUUUCCAUAUUUAGUGUGUGAUAUGUGUGUGUUGUCUAGCCGGAAUUCCUAAGAACAGCCGCCGACCACCGCUAGGGUGGUUAUGUGUGUGUGUUAUAAUUAGUUAGUGUGUGCGUGUGUGAUCAUUUUGAGUUAAGCACUGUAAUUGUAAUUAGCAAUGUAAUUGUAAUUAGCAAGAUGAAUAAUAAAAAGAAACUCAAAACCACCACCGUAAGGUGGUGGCCGCCGCCGUGUGCCGCCUUAGACCACCACUACCCGAGGUGGUAGUGGGUGGUGCCCCGCUAGCAAACCCUAAUGGGCUUAGACAAAAAUUGGACCAUGUUUGGGUGGAAAACCCUAAUCAUGAGUAUUGAGCCUUAGACUUAUUGGACCCAUUUUUGGGCCAUUGAGAUUGGAUUGUAUAUUAAGCUCAAAUUCUCCAUACCAAUUAUCUAGUAAAGGACUUAAUGGACUAAGUCCUUAAUGGGCUAAUUGAGAAAAUACUAAUAUUCGAGAAAGUAUCAAGACACACACACAGGAAUUAUUUAAUAAAUGAAAUAUUAAAUAAUAAUCAUUGACAGAGAUUAAUCUAAGCAUAAUUGACUUAAUGGAUUAAGUCCUUAGUGGGUUAAGCCCUUAAUUUCAUCAUUUUAUGUGAAAACCUAAUUUCACUUGGGCUUGGUGUUGGGCCAUCCAAGAUUAAUCAAAUGGACUAGAAUAAUUAGUUGGGCUCUUGGGUAAGGCCCAUAUGAAGGAUUGGGCCUAAUUUGGAAAAUUGGGCCAUAAAUGGACCAUAGUUGGGCCUCGUUGGUUGUAUGAUAUUGGGCCCUUAGAAUGAGACAUGUUGGACCGGACUGAGCAAUUGGGCCUUAAGGGAAGUCCAUGUAGAGGUUUGGGCCCAAUUUGGAAAAUUGGGCCAUAUGUUGGACUUUGAUCCCUAGUUGACUUUGGGCCUAUGGAUUGGGCCUUGGGCUUGGGUAAGCCAAGCUAGGGGUAAUGUAGUAAUUAUCCAAAGCAUGUAUUUUUAGUUAUGUGUUAGAACCCAAUUAUUAAUUGGGUGUUAUUUGGUGUUGACAGUUCGGGAAUCUGUCAGCCAGCAGCUGGGGUGGAGUCUGCGGGACUUCAGCAGUGUGGGAUUGUGUCUACGAGACUUCAGCAGUGUGAGGUAGUCAGUUUUCAAAGGAGGAGCUCGGAAAGAUUGAAGUGUACACACCAUUUGUUCAGCCUGGGAUGUUUAUACUCUGAUAUAUUUAACAGUUGUUAAGAUAUUUUGAGAUACAUUCUUUAUGAUUCUUAUAUGACGAUUGAUGAAUAUGGUUUUAUUACUAAUUUUAAACGAAAUUCAGACUGUA